rnacentral:rRNA from 1 species
GAUGAACGCUGGCGGCGUGCCUAAUACAUGCAGGUCGAGCGAAUGGAUUAAGAGCUUGCUCUUAUGAAGUUAGCGGCGGACGGGUGAGUAACACGUGGGUAACCUGCCCAUAAGACUGGGAUAACUCCGGGAAACCGGGGCUAAUACCGGAUAACAUUUUGAACCGCAUGGUUCGAAAUUGAAAGGCGGCUUCGGCUGUCACUUAUGGAUGGACCCGCGUCGCAUUAGCUAGUUGGUGAGGUAACGGCUCACCAAGGCAACGAUGCGUAGCCGACCUGAGAGGGUGAUCGGCCACACUGGGUCUGAGACACGGCCCAGACUCCUACGGGAGGCAGCAGUAGGGAAUCGUCCGCAAUGGACGAAAGUCUGACGGAGCAACGCCGCGUGAGUGAUGAAGGCUUUCGGGUCGUAAAACUCUGUUGUUAGGGAAGAACAAGUGCUAGUUGAAUAAGCUGACACCUUGACGGUACCUAACCAGAAAGCCACGGCUAACUACGUGCCAGCAGCCGCAGUAA